UAGGAUUGAUAAGACGACCCU
rnacentral:siRNA from 1 species